rnacentral:tRNA from 1 species
GACUCCAUGGCCAAGUUGGUUAAGGCGUGCGACUGUUAAUCGCAAGAUCGUAGAGUUCAACCCUCACU